rnacentral:rRNA from 1 species
UGGGUAGUCCGCACGAGCGCACCUUGUCCUUAGUUGCCAGCACAUUAUGGUGGGGACUCUAAGGAGACUGCCUGGGAUAACCAGGAGGAAGGUGGGGAUGAUGUCAAGUCAGUAUGUCCCUUAUGUCCAGGGCUACACACGUGUUACAAUGGCCAGUACAAAGGGUCGCCAACCCGCGAGGGGGAGCUAAUCCCAAAAAACUAGCCUCAGUUCAGAUUGAAGUCUGCAACUCGACUUCAUGAAGGAGGAAUCGCUAGUAAUCGCGCAUCAGCACGGCGCGGUGAAUACGUUCCCGGGUCUUGUACACACCGCCCGUCACGCCAUGGAAGUCAGCAGUACCCAAAGCCGGUGGCCUAACCUUCGGGAGGGAACCGUCUAAGGUAAGGCUGGUAACUGGGGCGAAGUCGUAACAAGGUAGCCGUACCGGAAGGUGCGGCUGGAUCACCUCCUUUCU